ensembl:lncRNA
AUCUGCACACACUCUGGCACUGAAUAACGUUAAAAAGAAAAAAAAAUCCGACAAACUUUUGAAGCGGAAUAUUUUUGUUAUUGUUGUUUUCGUAAGAGGUUCUGAGAGUGUCUAAGUUUGCAUGCAUGAAACAGUACCUUCCAAGUCGGUCUUGCGGUUGGCUAAAGCUCUUCACAUUUUCUAUUGAAAAAUUAACUGUCUCUACCACAGAGUUUUCUAUUGCACCCAAUGGCCCCUUGGCUAACUCAACAAUUCUUUUAGUAGAAGCAACAAGAAGGCUAGAAGAAAAUGGACAUGCAAGAGCUGUAAGAAAGCAUCAGCUGUGGCAAAGGAAAAGGAAAGCUGCGUCUCUGCUCAAAAGGAUGCCAGACCCUGACAAGGGCCAGAUCUACAAAUGCAAUGAAUGGACUCUGCCAAGCAGUCUUGCUGAUCCCUUGCAGAGAAGGGUGCCUCCCCCUGAUUUCACUUGCGUUCCUCAAGGUGAGCUGGCUAGAAAGCAGCUGAUCGGAGGCUAGAAGACUUUAUGCAGCUAACAUUCAUUUAGAGAUGGACAAGGAGGUUUCAUUCUCACAAAACACUGAGUAUAAGAUGGACAGCACUUCGUAACAGCGGUUCCUCUGACAAACCUUAGAGUGAGAAGAACAUCUUUGUCGACCUUGGUACAACUGAGAUCCUCAGGAAAUCUCAGUUCUGAGAAAACAGGAGGUCUCCAAGCUGCAGGUCCUGGACUCAGAUGCAAGUCAUUUGUUUUUUCUUCAGAUGGAAAACUCAACUUCCUCUUAUGAACUCCUCAGCUGCUAACAACUGCAAAGAGUGAUAGAGCACAAGUCUUCUUCUAACCAAGAGGUUUUGCUGAGAGUGAUGCUUCAGGUCUUUGGUAUCUGCUCGGUGGCAUGGAAGACAUCCCAUUUUAGAUUGCCAUGCACAUCCCAGAAAAGUGGCAUAACUACCAAGCUUUGUUUGGGGUGGGCUGGGGGACAAGAAAGGAGAAGAAAGCAGAGGAGCUGGAGUAAGAUACUGUCCAACUCUAAAUGUUCUCCUCAAAAUGCCUCACACCGUAGCCCAGUAAUUUGAAGACUCCUCUCUGAGUUGAGUUGAUGAGAAUUAAGGUCUUAAUACUUUCUGUUCCUCCUGCCAGCAGGGGCUAUGCCCAGUGGAUAACUGGUUCUACAGGUACUCCGACCAGAAAUUCAUUUCACUUUACUGUAGAUAUGCUGUUGUUGAGAGCUUUUUUUCACAAACUGAUUUUUUCUGUUUGAAAAAUGGUUCCUCCUAAACAUUCCUAGCCAGCUCCACUCUAUAUUUGCUAAAGACGUGACUUCAAAUACAUUUUUGCAUUGUUAUUGUUGUCUUCCUUUUUUUUUUUUUUUUUUUUUUUCUGUUGACCUUUUAUUCUGUCUGUUCCAAUGCCAGAAUUACAAAGGCCAUGUGACAUGAGUGUAACAGUGUUCCAACUAGGACAUAUUUUGAGAACAUCAGGUCCAUGGUUUCCCAGCAUCAGACAUAGCAGAUUUUUUGCUGUCCAUUUUGGUUCUUGGGUAAUUAGUCAUUCCACACAUUUUUUACAGCUGAUGAUCGUGAGCAGAAGCUUUGUCCAAGAAAUGAUCAGUUAAGCCAUGUAUUGGCUGUGUGGUCUUUGAAUGACAAUACUGCUCAGGUAUACAUUUACUGCAUUUGUGUUUUAUCUGCUAGUGCAUCUCUACUGACAUUGAAGGGCACUGUGAGCCUUUGCAGAAUGAAACUGUGCAAAGUCAUGUAUUUUGUUCUUACUGUGGAGAUAUCCUCUGCUUACAGAUUGCAUGCUGUAGUACCACAGCUGGACACUUAGUGGUCCAUGAGCAGGGGUGGGUCAUAUGGAAGAACUGGACUGGUCCUCCCCCCAACCUGAUGGGUAGCAACAUCCGUCACUCUUGCUCAUAGGUUUGGGACCAAGCUUGCAGAUAGGUGGAGUACACUGUUCUGCCUGGCAGGGCUUUAACUUGCAGAGUUAACUUUACUCAAGAGAAAAUUAUGCCAGAUCCUUGCCUUUGAAGAUUUCGGUAAACUUCUUUUUCAGGGAAAAAGUGUUGCCAACUGGGAUUUUUUGUGAGUUAUCUGCUUUUCAAAGAUCUUUGUGAGAGGGGCCUGGUUAAGGGCAUUGCUAGGGGAAACCAAUUAUAAUUUUCAAAUACGUUAGACUUAAACAAACAUUUAAUUAAACUGAGACCAGCUCUUUCAGCCAUUGCCUGUCUUCUCCUUUUUGUAGAGUUGGAAAAUUCUGGGAAAUUCCUGAUGCUACACAUUUUUUAACAGUGUCAGCAAACUCUUCAAACCAAUUUUCUGUACUUCCUUUUCCUUUCUCUUACUUCUCUCCUACUCCUUCUCGGAGACACUGUAGCCUACUUUUUAAUCUCUUAAUUUUCCAUUUUCCCUCAAUUUCUUGCAAUCUCCAAUUUCCUUCAAACUUUUUCUAUCUUCGCUCAUUACUCCCUGUUCCCUUUUCCAUGUUUUUCUUUUCCACUCCCUCUUUCCCCAGCUCAGCAGAAACUCACUCACAAACUGAGCUAUCUCCCCAGCAUCCUAGUGAUCCUAGUGACUCUAGUGAUGGAUAGAAAUAUCCUAAAUCUUAGCAGCUGUCGGUCAGAUGGGCUGACCAUCCCCUCCCUGAUUUGCAUCAUCCUUCUCCAAAGAUCCAUUCACAUUUGAUGACAGCAGAGGCUGUAUGUGAGCUGGAAAGAGGUGGAAUGAAAAAGGAAGAUGUUUUUGUCACUUACUGAGAAGCACCAAAUGGCUGCCAAGCUGCCCAGGAAAACCCGCAGGGUGUGGGGAGGCAACAGAGGAGGGGGUCACAUACUAUGUGACAUACAGCAUACAACAAUAUGUUCCUACUGAGGUACUGUAAUGCUGGUUUUAUGGUAUUGUCAGCAUUAUAGCUACAACAGAGCAUGCAACAUUAGAUGCUGAGUGUGAGUCUUUGCAGUUAUUAAAAACUAUAAAUAUCUUCUAUAAAAGUGAAGGGAAAAUAUUGACCACAUGAUGUUUUUCUUACGAAAACAUCCAACCAAUCCUAGUUUGCACCAGGUUUAAAGUUCCCCCUUCCUCCAAUGUAAUUUGAUUUCACAUUGUCUUGCUUUUUCUUUUUCUUUGCCUUUUUCUUUUUUUUCCUCAAGGACUUCCAAAGGUUAAGUGUACUUGCAUGGCAGGACAUGAUUAAGGAGCUCAAUAUUGUACUGAGAUAAAGUAAAUGUAAACAGUACUAUCAUCUUUAUUUUAUAGGGGGACAAAGAAGGUAUUGCACAGUAGCUUGUGAUGUUGGCUGAUAUUAGGUACACGUUAAUGCACUAAACUGACUAUUUUUUACAUAUCUUCAACCAUACAAGUUUAUCAGACGUGGGCAGCAAAUACAGAGGCCUACUUCUACAAACAAAUGAACUAGGCAUAACUUUAUCUGUUCCUAUAGCUUUGUGAGAGUUAUGGCAUUAUUUGCAAAAUAAAAAAUAAGAAUUAAAAUGACUCAGCAAAACUCAAAUUCUGUUAAAAAAAAUGUGACCAAAUUCUUACACACAACUCCUCUGCAGGCUUCUGCUCAGACAUGUUUUUCUCUUGCUCUAUGCCAAACAUAAAACAUGAUUUUUUUUUUUCUAUUUUAAAGUAUGCAAGUUGUUAAACAAAAUCCUGUAAACUUGGCCUGUCAACCUUAACUUCUAGGCUUUCUAACUUAUAAAUCUAGUUAGCCAUAAAUCUCAACAUGCGCUGUUCUUUUACUGUAAUUAAAGUCUUGAAGGCAUUUUGCUUUACAUCUUCAGGUAUUCUGUGAAGACCUACGACUUUUUCCACUUAUCAAUUCAUUCUCAAGUGCAGAGGGUCUUUUAAAAUUUUCACAAUGUAGAGAAGUUAUUCCAGCAAGAUUCAGCAGACUGAGGAUUCAGUGACAGUCUAAAUUAAUUUGGUUCAGGUGAGGAGGUGUUUUCAUGACAGCGAGCCUGCUUAUAAAUUCUGUUUCAGCCAUGAGCAGACUUUUUAGACUAGAGGCAUUUCAAAAGUGAAGAAAAUAUUUAGAUCCUACUGAAAAUAAACAAUUUCUUGACUUCAAGAAAAAAAUGUAAAAAUGUAUUCAAAGUAAUGGUAGAUUCUCUUCUGGUUACAGUUCUUGGAUCGAACUAGAAAGAUAAGACAUAUUAGAGAUCACACUCAAUGUCUGUCAAUUAAUGGAUUUGAUAAUGGUGCUCUGAAUUUUGGAAAGCAAAUAGUUGUUUCGUUGUAGAUUUGGUUGCAAAAGCCUUUCUCUUCAUUUUCAUACAGGCACAAAGGUUCUUAAAAAAAACAACAAAUUGAUGAUAUAUCACUAUGAUAAUAUAUGUUUGGUUAUAAAGAAAAACAAAAUACGAUACUCUUCAUGAAUCUUCGCACCACCUCUCCUAUAUAACUCCCAUCCUUUUGACAAGGAUUAAAUUCCUCUGUCUUUUAAAAUAUGAAAGGUUUAAAAACCUUAUAAAGAACAAGACACAGAGCAUAACUUCUGUUUUUCAGUUUCAAAAGUAAACUGAUCUACAAUCAGUGUGGGGAUUUUAGUCACAUUCACAGAUUGUCAAUUGAAUGAAAGUAGUCAUUUCAAUUUUCUCUGUUUUCUAGAUACCAUUAAAGUACAGAUUCAGUGUUCUGUAAAUGGAAUCAAAUUAUUUAUUAUACCUAUUAAUAUACAUAUGAAUUAUCUUGAAUUGCACACAUCGGUUAUUGAGUAGCUUAAAUGAAUCACUAAAUACAUAAUAUAUUGCAUUACUUUGCCGCCUAUGGAAAAUAAUCCAGUGCUUGACAUUUACCAAACCACAGAAAUUUGACACACUAAGCAUGUCUGAAAGCAUCUCUCCUGUCUGAUCAAAUCACUACAUGUAAAAUGUUUCCUCCUAGUUAAAAUUUUCAUAAUAUCCUAGUAGAUAUUGUAUAUGUCAUGUCCAUCAUUUGGAGGGGAUGAUUUCCAUGCAGGACAUGAACAAAAGACAUUUCUCCUGUAUUUAGUGAUAAAGGUCUUCUCACAAAAUCUACUUCUUGCUAUUAGGAUUUCACGUGUGUGAGUAAAGAGUAGCAACCUUAAAGUAUUUCUAAAACUCUAAAUUACUUCCCCAGUGUAAGGAAUUAACAACUAAUGGGAUUUGCUAUGUCUUACGGUAUGAAUAAAUAUAUGGAGCUUUUUCUGAGGAAUUAGAUCUUGUAAGCCAUGUGUUUCUCUGAUUUUUAUAUCUUUCAUGUUUGUCAUAAAAACUCAGAGAAUAUUAUACCUACCUCUGAGGACACGUUUUCUUUGUCUCUUAAAUGUCUACAUUCAUAUUUCACUUACAGCACUUUUGAAAAACAUUGCCUUCAGCUAUCUGAGAGCUGAAGCCUUCUUUGCAGCUACAGCAGAGGAGCAGCUGCAAUAGCAGUAAUGGAAGUAUGCAUUCCAGUCCUCCUCAUCAGAAGAAACCAUAUGCCAAAGCCCCCCACCCUCUUCCUUAAUUUUGAUGUGUCUUCCAAAGUUGUUAAUGAUACUGUUAUUUCUGAAAUGGAGGUUUUAGACUGUGAACACUGUUGAUUUGUUUUUACAAACUAUUUUUAUCUAAUAACAACUUCAGUAGUUGCCAAACUGCCCUAAAUUUGCACUGAGUUCAGAUGACCAACAGCAAAGCAUCUCAGGUGAUGCUCACGUGACUCUAAGUCUCUGUCCUUAAAAGAAAAGGUAAUGUCAUCUAAGUUCUAGCUUAAGCACGUGUGUCAGUGGCAGAUGUUCUUGGCAAUUGUUAAAUGAGCUCCAGAUGGCAGCUUAGAAGUUUGACCUUAAACAUUUUCUAACCUUCAGCUGUAAUUUUUAAAUGAAGAAAUGUGUAGAUGCAUAGCUUGUUCAGUUUUUCUCCUGG